rnacentral:misc_RNA from 1 species
CGCGCGGCUAAACCUUCAUUUUUGUGUUUUGUGUAGAGGAGCAUUGGGUUUUCAUUGUGUGUGUACCACAACACAACGUGUAGGAAAAGAAAAAUGAGUGCAAGAUUUGAGUGUGUCGAGGGUCCAGUGAGCGAAUCGUUUCAGUGUCCGCCUCUUCCACACAACAGUGGCUGCCUUGAGCGUCACUCCUCGGCGCUAACUUGGCCACGACAGAGUGACGGUGUGAUGGUGUUUGGACAGCCACUCGCACCACGUCUCUCGUCACCUGUGCCUCAUAACAGUGCCACAUCAUUAAUAGCGUGCAUCGGAGCCACUUUGCUGGGAUACAAUACUAAUGAAACGUUGCCUGAAGUGAUGUCAGGGGCUAACACCAGCUACUACCAGGAGGCGGUGGAGCUGGCGGUGGGCUACCGCUGCUCCUGCCGGCACAGCAUGGGCGGGCCGCAGUGCAGCAUUGUCACAGUAGUGGUGGGCAGCGUGGCGCGACCAAGCACCGAGGCGGAGGCCAUGUCGGCGGGUCAGGUGGUGCUGGUGGUGGUGUUCAGCACCGCUAUGCCAGUGCUAGUGGUGGAAUUGGUGUUGGUGAUUGUGUGCAUGAAGCAGAAACGCGUACGUGACUGCCCGUGUCGGGAUGAGGAGGCGCGGCGUCAGAACGAGCAGAAUAUGGUGCACAACGCUGUGGGCGCCGUCAACAGUGUCUGGACCACCACAUGAUCUUCUACUCUAAACUUCCCCAUCAAGAAACCUCUCAAAACCGUGCCACCGCCUCCUCCCCUUGCAUCACCCACACCACACCCACCUCCACCACCAUCACCUCCACGACCACGACUACAAGAAUCCCGCGGAGAACGCAUACUCCGCAGUGCCCAUGCGCAGCAGCAGGACUCAACAAGGAUGUGUCGCGGCUCUCGCUGGCUGACCGCCUCGAGAAGGACAUUGAGCCCCCGCCCAGCGCCUGCGUCACGCCCACCUCGGACUCCAGUGCCCCAUGCAAGGUGUUCCGGAAUUCCUUCCUGCCGCGCACAUACAGCCACAGGAGGCGAGGAAUUCCAUAGCUGUGGACCAAAGUAAAAUAUGCUGUGCUUGAAUAACUGUGUGCGGAAUUGCGGGCACUCCAAAUUCAAGUUCCCACCUCUUGUUGCAUACGGUGAAUCUACACAUUUAAAUAGAGGAGUUAUGGGUGGCAGGAGGUUGAUGAAAUGUGUGGUGGUGUCACAAGUGAAGCACAGUGAGCGUUCCUGCAGGGUGAAGCAAUGAUGAGACCAGCGUCACCAGUCAGCGAGGCCGAAAUCAAGCGACCGCCGGCAGAGAGGAGUCUUCUCCUGGACGUUUGAAGAGUACCACCUUCUUGAAGCACAGAGCACAGACAGCGCUGGAAACUGGACUACUACAGUUUGAGCAGAGUCCAACAUCUGUGUAUCUGCACCAGAAUCAAGUGUCCAGGGAGGAAAUGAUACGUCUGCAGAGAUGUGCCAGGAGGAGGGACUCUUGGAACAGGCCUUCACACAACAGGGAUUGGGGUGGGGGUGGGGGGACCUUAUAGCAGCAGGUGACUAG